rnacentral:rRNA from 1 species
UACGAAGGGGACUAGCGUUGUUCGGAAUUACUGGGCGUAAAGCGCACGUAGGCGGAUUUGUAAGUCAGGGGUGAAAUCCCGGGGCUCAACCUCGGAACUGCCUUUGAUACUGCAAGUCUCGAGUCCGAUAGAGGUGGGUGGAAUUCCUAGUGUAGAGGUGAAAUUCGAUAGAUAUUAGGAAGAACACCGGUGGCGAAGGCGGCCCACUGGAUCGGUACUGACGCUGAGGUGCGAAAGCGUGGGGAGCAAACAGG